UUCCUUCAGUUCAGGCUAGCAUUCCACCGAUGUCAUUACCUAUAGAUGAAAGUUUAAUACGACACUUAGAAGUAAACUCAAAUUGAGAUAAUAUAUCAAUCUUUAAAGCCCAUACAGUAUUAUAAUACUUCCAGAAAGAAUGCUUAAUCGCCAAAAACUGAAAUAUUAGUAAAUUGGUAGUAAAAAGCAUUGUCAGUACCACUUAACUCUGAAGAAUAUCCCCCCAAGAGGAAUGCAAAUUUUAGAUAGGAGCUGAAAUCUGGUGACUGCAACAGCACAAAGAAAAAUCAAGAAUGUACUGUACAUGCAAACUACUGACAAGAAAUAGUAGUGCAUCAGUUGAAAAUAUAAAAAUGAGAUCUGUGUAAACAAAAAAAAUCUUAUCUUUAAUCUACUAGUACAGUUGAUAGUUCAUAUCCUUGAUCCUAGUUGAGAAAGUGUUGAUGUAGAUUGGUAGCAGCAGCAGAUAUGCAGCAAAACUCUUUAGCAAUAUUUGGCUACGAAUAACAAAUUGUCAAUCCAAAAGUCUCAACUAAUUUCACUGACAGAGCAAAUCAUAUAUGAUUAAUAUGAUACGAUCUAUAGUGAAAUACUUAGCUAGAAUAAAAUAAAAAUGAUAUCAAACAUGAAAUCAAACUUUAUGGUGGCAUAAAAAAUUCAAAUAAGCCCUAGUUUAUUGAAUUGGUAUGUCUUCUCGCAAAUUAGUCGAUGUCACUAUACAAUCUACAGCAAUACUGAUUGUCCAGGCGCAAGGUAACUGAUACAAUGCAACCUUAUCAAGAAAGAAAUCAUCCAGAAAUUUUAUCUAGACCAAUAUUUAGCACAUAUAAAAUUAAUAAAUGUGAGAUAAUAAACAGCUAGUAGUAGGUGCAAUAAAAAAAUCCUAC
rnacentral:lncRNA from 1 species